AUCUGCAUUUCACUUAAAUAGGGGGGCAAACAAGCAAAAAAAAAUUAUAUCCGAUCCUGAAGACUUUAUGAACUCGUUAGUUUAUUCUUGAAGCCAUGGAUACUUUACCUUGUGAUGCAACAAACGAUUUCAAUGGUGUUCAUCGAACAAUGUAUUGAAAAGUAAUGGCUGGGCAAAUCUUAGAUCAUUUCGAAAACGGCAUGAAGUUCGGAUCUUUCUUAGCCUCGAAAGUUUUAUUGCCGUCGACUGGAAUUCUAAUUCAUUCCAAGUGUUUAAUGACAUGGUAUCCAUGACGAAGGUUUGCUGUUCUUUCUAUCGUACUUUUCUUUCGCUAGUUUUUCAGCGAAGUAGGAAGUUUUAGAUAGAAAGGACGUUGGUGAGAAAUUACAGAUUUCUGAGCAGUUUCAGAAAACUACUGACGAGAUAUAGAAUAGCUGCAGCAUAAGCAUUUAAAGCUACAAUCUGACUACUGAUAUGGAUGGAAUCCAGUAAAAUGCUCUUCUGUUGAGAUUGAAAUUUUGAAAUAUCUGCUGAAGUAUAUGAGUGAAGAAGCUACAGAUAAACUUGACCAGAACGAUUUCAGUGAUCCAGCCUUUAACUUAAUGAUGAUGGACACUUUUCUGGGCCGAAAAGGAAAGGAACCAGACAAAAUCCAUUAAGAUGGCUUAAUGAAGACUGUGAAUUUUAAAAAUAAACGAUAUGCCAGUUUGUGUAAAGAAAGAAUCAGAGGAAAAGAUAAAAAUACUCUUUUUAUUUUGACUCUCAAAAAUUGCGCAUUACGGGAAGAUAGAACUUCUAUGUUGUGGUAUCAUAUCGAAGAUAAAGCGAUUUAGAUGUGAUGAUCUAUGUAGUUCUGAUAAAUUGGACAAUGAAAUAUAUCAUGGUGUUUUAAAGCAACUUCAACAUCAUUUAUUGUAAACACAGAUAAUUCUUUUCUAUUUAAAGAAGUAAUACAGUCAAACUUCGUUAUCAAGUCACCCGAACAUUAGGCCAUUCCACCUAUUAGAUCAAAUCAUUUUGGUUCUAACGAAUUCCUGUUUCAUUUCCGUGCAAUAUGUACUAUUUAAGAUAUUUCUGAGAUGCUCGUUAUAGGUAUCAAGUCAUAUCUAAGUUCACUCUUUGAGUAAAACUAUACUACAGGCUCCUUUUUAGUACAAAAUUUAUCUCCAAACUGAAACUUGUUUCUUACCUCAUCUUGAAAAUCCAUCAGAUCAAUUAACAUCUAUCAGUCGGGAAGCUAAACAAAUUUGAGGCACAGAUUUCUAUAGAGAAGAAGAUACACGUUUUUCUUAAAUUACAUUUCAACUUCUGUGUUUAUCCUAUCUUUUCACCCUCCCCCUCCUACCAAAGAAAAAAAGAAGAGUUUUCAGAUUUUACCAGAUUCUCGAGGUUUACCCAAAAAGGACUUCCAUAAUCUACCAAUUUUCCCAAAAGGGGUUAACAUGUUAUGGUUUGGAGAAGGAAAUUUACUCACGAUUGAACUUCCUAAAAUGACUGCGAGGGCAUUUCUAAAAAAGUUCGAUCAGACAGAAUAUAUGUACAACUUAAUAUAUAAUUAGGACAUUUUUAUAAAGUACAUGUCGCCUAUUGCAGAAACAUUAUCCGAAAUCCAUAAUUUUUUAUAUCAAACUAAACGUAGAGUUAUCAAUAGUUAUUCCAGAAAUCAAACAAUAAUUUCAAAAUUUCUUCGCUCUAACAAUAUACUUAUUAUUUUAUGUUCAUAAAUUCUUUAAAAUAUAUUUUGAUGCUUAAUGAUAAUUAUUACUCAAUUUUAUUUCAUUAAAUAUAUUAUAUAUUUCUUCCCCCCGCUCCCCCCCCAAAAAAAACCUAUUUUUACUAUUCCAGAUAAGUCCCUCCGGACAACAGGCAAUUUUUUCCUUGUCUCAAAAGUGACCUCUUACCGAAGUUUGACGGUAUUUAGUUUAAGAUAGUAUAUCUUAUAAAAAUGUCAUAUAUACAAAUCUUAUUGCUAAUAAAUAUAAAUACAAGAAAUAAA